AUCUUGCGCAAUGGGCGAAAGCCUGACGCAGCCAUGCCGCGUGAAUGAUGAAGGUCUUAGGAUUGUAAAAUUCUUUCACCGGGGACGAUAAUGACGGUACCCGUAGAAGAAGCCCCGGCUAGCCUGGUGCCGGCAGCCGCGGUAAUACGAAGGGGGCUAGCAGUGCUCGGAAUUACUGGGCGUAAAGGGCGUGUAGGCGGAUCGUGAAGUCAGGGGUGAAAUCCCGGGGCUCAACCUCGGAACUGCCCUUGAUACUGGCGAUCUUGAGUAUGAGAGAGGUAUGUGGAACUCCGAGUGUAGAGGUGAAAUUCGUAGAUAUUCGGAAGAACACCAGUGGCGAAGGCGACAUACUGGCUCAUUACUGACGCUGAGGCGCGAAAGCGUGGGGAGCAAACA
rnacentral:rRNA from 1 species